rnacentral:rRNA from 1 species
AGCAGCCGCGGUAAUUCCAGCUCCAAUAGCGUAUAUUAAAGUUGUUGCAGUUAAAAAGCUCGUAGUUGAAUUUCGGGGUCAGUAGGUUGGUCAUGCCUUCGGUAUGUACUGGUCUCACUGAUUCCUCCUCUUGAAGAACCGUAAUGUCAUUAAUUUGAUGUUGCGGGGAAACAGGACUGUUACUUUGAAAAAAUUGAGUGUUUAAAGCAGGCUCACGCUUGAAUACAUUAGCAUGGAAUAAUGAAAUAGGACGUUCGAUCCUAUUUUGUUGGUUUCUAGGAUUGACGUAAUGAUUAAUAGGGAUAGUUGGGGGCAUUAGUAUUCAAUUGUCAGAGGUGAAAUUCUUGGAUUUAUUGAAGCUAACUACUGCGAAAGCAUUUGCCAAGGAUGUUUUCAUUAAUCAAGAACGAAAGUUAGGGGAUCGAAGACGAUCAGAUACCGUCGUAGUCUUAACCAUAAACUAUGCCGACUAGGGAUCGGAUGAUGUUAAUUUUUUAAUGUACUCAUUCGG